rnacentral:rRNA from 1 species
UACGUAGGGGGCAAGCGUUGUCCGGAUUUAUUGGGCGUAAAGAGCGUGUAGGCGGCCAGGUAGGUCAGCUGUGAAAACUCGAGGCUCAACCUCGAGACGUCGGUUGAAACCAUCUGGCUAGAGUCCGGAAGAGGAGAGUGGAAUUCCUGGUGUAGCGGUGAAAUGCGCAGAUAUCAGGAGGAACACCCGUGGCUAAGGCGGUUCUCUAGUACGGUACUGACGCUGAGACGCGAAAGCGUGGGGAGCGAACAGG